AAUACAAUGGAGAAACUUAGCUUGUUGAUGAUAUAUAUGAUGCAGAGAUAUGAUAGCUAGGCUUCCUUGUUUUCAGGUCGCAUGCAUGUUACUUAAUUGGCCUGUCGGAGGAGGUGAUGCAUUUGGCGGUUGAUCCCACUACUUCCCAGCUGGUCUGGAGCGCCAUUGAACAAUCGCUAGGAUCGAUGACACGGGCACGUGCGCUGCGGCUUCUUGGGCAGCUCCAAGGUCUCAGGCAGGGUAACAGCUCCAUUUCAGAGUACUUAGGCCGCGCUCAGGUUUAAUUAGUUGUCUCUCGCCGGACGGCCUGUGUCAUUGAAAGAGCGAGCAGAAUUUAUACGUUUUUCGUGGGUUGCUUCCGGAGUUCCGGUCAAUGGCGUCCUCCCUCACCACGCAAGGCUCGCCGGUCACUCUUACAGAGGAGUUGUCCGAUCACUUGGCUGCUUCUUUAUUAUCUGUACAACCUAAUCCAGAGUACGCAACACCAAUGUUUAGUUUGUUUGAGCAGUACGUACUACAUCUCAUCUUCCAUCAUCUCCUCUAUGGCUCUAUGUAUGUAUCUUCAGGGCUCAAUGUUUAUAUUUAUUUGUUACGUAAAACUAACAAAAUCUUAAUAUGUACACCACAAUCAAUAACACGUAGCACUAAUAUGUUAUGUUAUGAUACAAUGAACAAAAGACUUUGAAUC